rnacentral:lncRNA from 1 species
AAACUUUAAUCCCCACCCCACUUCAAUAUCAGAUUCAAUCAAUCAUAGAUCUUCGACCGUUUGAAACCGUCUGUUCCAAAUCAUGAUUCAAUCAAUCGCCACACAACACCACCGGACAACCACGUCUACCAACGACGUCACUUCGGGACACCACACAACUACCGCCACCACCUAACACCAUUCGUCAGAUCUUUGGUAACAACCGAUUAGCCGUUUCCCCAACCAUCACCAUCACCCAUAUCCAAACUCGUCACCACAGAUCUGAUUAGGGUGUACCGUCGUUCUUCACCAAAGCGAUCGAUCUGUUGCUUACAUCUAAACAACUGUGGGAAAAAGUGGCUGUUGGUUUUCAGAUAGAUCUUCGACCGUUUGAAACCGUCUGUUCCAAAUCAUGGUUGUUGAUUUUAAGCACAAACCUUUAUUUAUUUCUGAUUCUCUUAAACAAGGUCUAGAUC